rnacentral:rRNA from 1 species
UACGAAGGGGGCUAGCGUUGUUCGGAAUCACUGGGCGUAAAGGGUGCGCAGGUGGCUUGGCAAGUUUGAUGUGAAAGCUCAGGGCUUAACCCUGAAAUGGCAUUGAAUACUAGCGUGCUGGAGGUUUGGAGGGGGGACGUGGAAUUCUCGGUGUAGCAGUGAAAUGCGUAGAUAUCGAGAGGAACACCAGUGGCGAAGGCGAGUCCCUGGACAACACCUGACACUGAGGCACGAAAGCCGGGGGAGCAAACGGG